AGCUGGAAAAAGAUAUUUAGGACUCCUACUACAACAAACAAAGUGAAACAGAGGGAAUUAUUGAAAUACAGUUUGAAGUAAUAUAUGUUUCAUGAAAUGAAAUUAUAAAGCAUAAAACCCAACCAAGAAGUUAUCAUUUCUUCCAAUCAAAGCAAAUAACAAAUGCCUUUCUUUUAGUCAAAGGCAAAUAGUGAUACUUAGAUAGUUGGAUUUCUACUUUGGAGAUUCAUACUUUUUCUAUAUAAUGGUUUUGCAUGAAGGGUAAAUGAACUCGGAGCUAGCAAGACAACAGAGGUUAGAUAGCUCUGAUGGGAGGAAGAGGUAGGAAGUUAAGGUCAUCCAUUCAUACGUCGUAGGAGGAUGACUACUCCUGAUGAUGCUGAAACAAAAGUCAAAGUGAAAGAUAUUAUGAAUGCAUCUCAAAUACAUCUAGUUGUGGCCAUACUACUAGUGACGGUUACAUUCGCGGCCGGUUUCACAUUACUGGGAGGUUUUGAGAGCGAUCACGAUAGCCCUAACAAAGGAAUGGCGAUUCUGAUGAAAAAAUCAGCAUUCUGUGCAUUCGUUGUUACGGAUGCCAUUGCCUUUGUAUGCUCCGCAGGUGCUGUGUUUAGCUACUUCGUCAUGUCUGCGAAUCACCGGCCAAGACAGCAAAAGAGCUGAGAGUUCUGAUGGACAUUUAUAGAGUUGCAACAAUUUUGCAGUUCCUUUCAAUGUUUGCAGUUGUAAUUGCAUUUAUAACUGGGGAAUGGAUGAAGAGACAUGAAGCUUUUAGGGGUCGUUUGGUACGAGGCAUAAGGAAUAAUAAUCUCGGAAUGAAAUAUGAAAAUCAGUUUAUCCAGCAUAUGGUUAGGGGUAUCAGUUAGUAUUGAGAUUAUUUAUCCCAUAUCAAAUGACCCCUUACUGCGCUGCGGUCUUGCAUCAAGGGCGGAGCGAGGAGGCACAAGGGCAAGGUUUCGAUCUUUCGCCAGAAAAUUAUUGUUGUUAUGUAUAUUUAAUAGAUGUUGAAUCUUCUCCAACUUCUUCGUUUGUUUACUUCUUUAUAUUUUGAAUCGCCUAUGUAUCUACGGUUGUGUACUUGUUUGGCAUACUAAUGUAAAUAUAUGCAAGCUUUGUAGUUAAGAGAACUUUUAUGUCAAAUUAUUCUGAA